AUUUCCACAACUUAGCCCACUCCUCCUUCAUCAAAAUAAAUAAAAGAACCCAACUCUAGUUAAUUUAAAGGCCCAACAUGAGUAUGGCGUAUUAUGUUUCCGAGGGAGUGAUGGUUAACUAAAGGUUCCACUUAAUUAUCUACAAUAUUAAAGAGUCAGCCCAUUUCCCCAACUAAAUUAGCCCACUCUAAUUAAAUAAGUGGCCCAACAAACAAAUAAUUUAGGAAAGAGAACAACCCCCAAUUCUAGGAUUUAUUAAUCUAAAUACUCCACCCACCUACCGUCAGUUUCUCUCUCUAACAAUAUUCAAUCUCCUUCCCCAAUUUCAAAAAUUAGGAAACAUCUCUCUUCCCAUUUCAGAGUUUCCGUCGACCAGCCACCCUAACAGCGCCGCCUCUGCAUCCUUUUUCGUCUCCGGCGGUGUUCCCUUCCUCCUCCUCAUCUCUCUCUUUUCUCUCUCUCUCUCUCUCUCUCCUCUCCCUCUCCUCUCCCUCUUCACCGUACGCUGCCGCCCUCUCUCUCUCACGGACUACUCCACCAUCGCCGCCGCAGCGAGCACGACGACGCACCGCCACCGCCGAGCGCAGCACAGACGCCGCCGUCAUCUCCAGAUCUUCCUCCGUUCAAGUCAGCCGCCGCCACUGUGCAUGUACAUGCGGCGGCUUCGGCCUUCUCCGCGCCUCCGACGCCGAUUCCCGAUAGAUUUUUAAAGGAAUAAAAGCAGUGACUUUCGGAGCGUUGAUUGUCGGCGACAGAGUGCCGAGCUUGCUGUCGGAAUCCGGCAGAUUCAUAGGGAUAAGUUUUUCUCAUUCUUUCUAGUUAUUAUAGUUAUUAAGGCAGUAGGAUUCUACUUGGUUUCUAUUUACUGUAUUUGGUGAAUUAUGAGUAUAUGCCUUGCUAUAUGGAUGAUUUAAUGGUAAAAUACACUAUAUUGUUAACUUGGGGGUGGGCAGAUUCUAUUUCCAAAUAUAUGCAGGCUUACAUAUAUAAAUGAAAGGAAAUGUUUGUUGUUUACCUUGUUGAUGCAGAAAGUAAAGUGUUGGGUUGUCGUUUUUGAGUUGUGCAAUCUCCCUCGGACUUCUCUAUCUUUUGUGAGUUGGUGUGUGCAGAGAAAAUAGACUGUGUGGUGAUGAUGUGGGGGUGAAUAAAAGAAAUUGAUUGUAUCUCUAGAUGCGUACUCACCAAGGCAGUGAAAGUGAUAUGCAUACUCAGCAAGUUGCCUACCUAUUCUUAUCUCAAAUUAUUCUCCUUCGUCAGGAAGGGAUAUGAUUUGCAUGCACUAAUUAAAUGCAGCAUUUAAUGUUGUGUUUGAAAAAAAAAUCGAUCCUCUCCCUCUUUUUUUAUUUUAUUUUUUUAUUAAAGUAAUUGUUUUAGUAUUUGUUCACUUGUUCAUUUAAUUUGGUGUAGGUAUGAUCGGUUCAAGUUUGUGGCUGUCCGCGUUGAAGUUUCCGAUUUUUCUUAGAACGCAGGAUGUAUAGAUUAAAUUUUGUUUGACUUUUGUUGGAUGUAUCGGACAUUAAAAUUUUGAUUAUGGAACCUGAUUCUUUUAUUA